rnacentral:rRNA from 1 species
GAUGAACGCUGGCGGCGUGCCUAAUACAUGCAAGUCGAGCGAACAGACGAGGAGCUUGCGCCUUUGACGUUAGCGGCGGACGGGUGAGUAACACGUAGGUAACCUACCUAUAAGACUGGGAUAACUUCGGGAAACCGGAGCUAAUACCGGAUAAUAUUUCGAACCGCAUGGUUCGAUAGUGAAAGAUGGCUUUGCUAUCACUUAUAGAUGGACCUGCGCCGUAUUAGCUAGUUGGUAAGGUAACGGCUUACCAAGGCAACGAUACGUAGCCGACCUGAGAGGGUGAUCGGCCACACUGGAACUGAGACACGGUCCAGACUCCUACGGGAGGCAGCAGUAGGGAAUCUUCCGCAAUGGGCGAAAGCCUGACGGAGCAACGCCGCGUGAGUGAUGAAGGUCUUCGGAUCGUAAAACUCUGUUAUUAGGGAAGAACAAAAGUGUAAGUAACUGUGCACGUCUUGACGGUACCUAAUCAGAAAGCCACGGCUAACUACGUG